GUGCUUACUCCAUAUCUAGCGGGUAUAAUUCAACCCAUAUCCUGCUCAACCCAACACUCGAUUUUAUUGAGGAGUUCAAAGCAAGUCUCCCUGAUGAUUCACUUGCUCUUACGAACAACGAUAGUAGCCAAUGGUCUGUUGGUACUGCUACUUCUAUUCGUGCCAGGUUUUUUGUUCUUAAUGAGAGGCUAACCAUCGGAGAGAUCAUUGAUAGCUCUGUGGUUGGCACUUUUGUUACUCUUGGGACCAUUGAAACAAUUGAUACUGAACGUGGCUGGCAAUAUCUAAGUUGUAAAUACCACAACAAAAAAGUGAUGCCUACAACCAAUGUUGAUGCUGAUGAUCGACCCUUGUUCUUCUGCAAUACGUGUGACAAAGAACACAGUGAUGUUAUUUCCAGGUAUUGAUCGGGUUAGAUAUACAAAAAUAUCAGUUAGGUAGGUCGUCAUUGAAAUAGUCUGUGACGUUUUGUCUUUGGAUUUGUUCAGGUUCAAAUUAAUUGCCAAUGUCAAGAACGAUAGCGGCGAGGCUAAUUUUCUGUUGUUUGAUGCUAAUGCUCAAGCAAUUGUGCGUCAUUCUGCUGCUGAACUCUAUGACGAGAAUGAAGAUGAAGACUUCUUACCUGAAGCAGUGAGCGAUCUCUUUGGUAAGAGAGUCCUUUUUGAGAUUUCAGUUGACGCUGAUAACAUCAAAGGAAAGAGUUCUUAGUAUGUUGUUCGAUUGGCUACUGAUGACCGUGAAAUGGUUGAGGGAUUUGCUGAUUUGCCU